CUUUAUACAGAAGAACAGUGCUGAAAAAAGCAUUACGAAUGUUUAUACUGAUAUCGACUAUUUUACUGUCACGUCUACUCUUGCUCCUCGCCUCUGGCGUUGGAUGUCGCCGGAAUACUAACCACCUGUCCUGGGAUACAUCAAUACGCACACCUGGCAUUCUUCAUUACACGCACCUGUUGAUCAUUAUGAUUCACACCUGGACUCCAUUACCUUCCUCAUUACCUUACAUUUGUUCCUCAGUUGGUAUUGUUCCUGUGUUCAUGCUUUUUCCCCACUGUGAUGUUAUCUCGGUUCAUGGGUUACUAAAUGUUUCACCUGCUUCUCGACUCACAGCGUCUUUGUUACAGAAUACCGACUCAAAAUAGGGAAGCAGCAGGAAAUUCAAAUAUCUCUCAGAUGGUCGAUGAACAGGGUUAUCUUCUACGUCAACACCAUGACCAGCUGGCACAACUGGGAUCGGCUAUGGAGGUUCUUCGUGGUAUGCAACGUCUCAAACACACCCGAGAGGCGUCGCCUUCAUCCAGUGGAGGAUACUCUUCAGCCAGUCGACCCAGCACAUCAGUGACCCCCACUCAGAGGAAUUCCGAUGUCGGGUUCUGAUCGGGAGCUCCUGGCGGUGAAGUUGUCAUUAGAGAAUUGGAGACACUGGCUGGUUCCUUGGCACCCUCCAUUCGUCAUUCUCACCGACCAUUGGAACCUGGAGUACAUACGGACAGCGAUGAGGCUGAAUCUGAGCGAGGUGGGCCCUGUUCUUCAAUGUUUGACUUCACGCUGACUUAUCGCCCAGGUUCAAAGAACACCAAGGCUGAUGCCCUGUCUCGGCUCUACGAUUCGGGGGAGAGGGUCCUGUCCGGAGUGCACCUAUAAUCCCAUCCUCCCUAGUCGUAGCUCUUGUGGUUUGGGACGUAGAUGCAGACAUCCGCCAGGCAUUGGAGAAGGAGCCCGCACCCACUAACUGUCCUCCUGAACGCAUCUACGUUCCCACAGGGAUAAGGGAUUGGCUGCUGACCUGGGCACACAGCUGUCGUCGCUGGACAUCCAGGUCGCUGAGGCACUCUUGUGACAUUAUGGCCUUCUGGAGGACAUCGUCUCUGACCGUGGCCCCGAAUUCACAUCACGAGUAUGGAGGGCCUUUAGGGAGACGUUCGGGGUCACGGUCAGCCUCACUUCCGGGUUACCGGCUUCAGACAAACGGGCAGGUAGAGGCUGAACCAGGAGCUCAGGAGUUUCCUGAACAGUGACUGUCAGGACCGGCAGGGUGAGUGGGCACAUUUCCUUCCAUGGGCAGAGUACUCCCAGAAUACACUACGUCACUUCUCCACUGGGUUGACCCCCUUCCAGUGUGUUUUGAGGUAUCAGCCAGCCCUGGCUCCGUGGACCCUGAGCCAGACCAACGCUCCUGCGGUUGAUGAGUGGUUUCGGCGUGUAGAAGUGUGGCAUGACGCUCUUCCUGUGUUCCAUCCUGGGGAUCACGUCUGGCUUUAUACCAGGAACCUCCCACUCCACCUGCCCUGCAAGAAACUGAGCCCCUGGUUUGCGGGGCUGUUCAAGGUUCUCUGGAGGGUCAAUGAGGUGAUGUUUUGGUUACAGCUUCCCAGUCACUAUCGAAUCUCACCCGCUUUUUAUGUUUCCUCAGGCCGGUGGUUCCUGGUCCUCUAGCUGUUGCUGCCCCCCCCCCCCGGACAUCGAGGGGAGUCUGACAUAUGCUGUCAGAGCCCUACUGGACUCCUGGUGUCGUGGGGGUCAGCUCCAGUACCUGGUGGACUGGGAGGGGUAUGUAGGGUUCCGGUGGAGGACUUUCUGGAUCCCAACAUCAGCCGUGAUUUCCACCUUCGCCGUCCAGACCGAUCUGCUCCUCAGGGUUGUCCUCUUGGUCGGCGUCGUCCUGCAGCAGGAGCCGCGCGUCGGGGGGCUACUGUCACUUCUGCUCCUCUGGCAUUUGACUUUGCCGGAAUACUAACCACCGGUCCUGGGAUUCUUCAUUACACGCACAUGUUGAUCAUUAUGAUUCACACCUCUUAUCGGUCCCUCCCUUAUGUUUGUUCCUCAGUCGGUAUUCAUGCCACUAAUCUCGUUUCAUGUUUGUUUUAUUAAACGUUUCACCUGCUUCUUGACUCACAGCAU
rnacentral:lncRNA from 1 species